UACGUAGGGGGCAAGCGUUGUCCGGAUUUACUGGGCGUAAAGAGCGCGUAGGCGGAAGCUCCAGUCCGGCCUGAAAGCCCCCGGCUCAACCGGGGAAGGUGGCUGGAAACUGAGCUUCUUGAGGGCGAUAGAGGAGAGCGGAAUUCCUGGUGUAGCGGUGAAAUGCGUAGAUAUCAGGAGGAACACCGGUGGCGAAGGCGGGUCUCUGGGCCGAUACUGACGCUGAGGAGCGAAAGCGUGGGGGAGCGAACAGG
rnacentral:rRNA from 1 species